UGCCUUGUUCGUCUAGCGGUCCAGGAUUUCUCGUUCUCAGCGAGAGGAGGCGGGUUCGAUUCCUGCACAAGGUAU
rnacentral:tRNA from 1 species